rnacentral:rRNA from 1 species
AGAGUUUGAUCAUGGCUCAGGACGAACGCUGGCGGCGUGCUUAACACAUGCAAGUCGAGUGCGUGUUCGUAGCAAUACGGAUGACGCACGGCGCACGGGUGCGUAACACGUGGGCAAUCUGCCCUCGGAUGGGGGAUAACCCGCCGAAAGGCGGGCUAAUACCGCAUGAAAUUCUGGGGACCCCGGUCCCUGGACUCAAA